AAAAAAAUAGCAUGUGAAUGGACUACACAGGCUGUGAAGAGUUAGUAGUUGUGAUCUUGGCCAUGAGGUUCAGAUAACCAAUUGUAACUUUAGAUGGUUAUAUUUAAUACUGCAGAGUUCACUACUCUGAAAAUCAGAUUUGUUAUUAUGACUUAAUCCCUCAAAAAACACUGCUAAGCUUUCAGGCUGUACAGGUCUAGAAAACUACUCCUCACAAAAGCUAAA